AGCGAACGUUUGCGGCGGGCCUAACACAUGCAAGUCGAACGCACUAGCAAUAGUGAGUGGCGCACGGGUGCGUAACACGUGGGUAAUCAACCCUUCAGCCUGGGAUAACGACUCGAAAGGGUCGCUAAUACCGGAUACGGCGCGAGAGGCUUCGGCUUCUCACGAGAAAGCCACGCAAGGGGCACUGAAGGACGAGCCUGCGGCCCAUCAGCUAGUUGGUGAGGUAAGAGCUCACCGAGGCUAAGACGGGUAGCUGGUCUGAGAGGAUGAUCAGCCACACUGGAACUGAGACACGGUCCAGACUCCUACGGGAGGCAGCAGUGGGGAAUAUUGCGCAAUGGGCGAAAGCCUGACGCAGCCACGCCGCGUGAGCGAUGAAGGCCUUCGGUCGUAAGACUCUGUGGGAGGAGACGAAGAAAGACCUGUGAGAGCAGGCCUUGACGGUAGUCUCCUUAG
rnacentral:rRNA from 1 species